AUGGCACCGAGGUGGUCUAGCAGCAGCAGCAAGGGCGUCAGGGAGGUGAUGGCCGUGGCGGGACUGCUCGAGGGGGCCGAGCAGCAGGAGGAAGGAAGCAGCGGCGCUGGAGGGUCCUGGCCGGUGGAGGACGACGUGGAGAAGGCGUCGGGGAUGGACGCACCAGGCGGAGGAGGAGAAGGGGCGCGCCGGGGGGAGGCUGGGUCGUCGCCGGCGGCGCUGGUGGGGAUCGGGCGCGGGGGCUCCUCCCCUGGCUCGAGGUGGAAGAGAGGAAGAGAGGGAGACGAGGGGAGGAAGAGCGAUGGUUGCGAGGGAGAGAUGGGGAUCGGGCUGAAGGAGUCUGGCGGUGCGAGGGAGAUCGAAGAGAGGGAGAGGGUUCGAGCGGGAUGA
rnacentral:rRNA from 1 species